rnacentral:rRNA from 1 species
AUUGAACGCUGGCGGCAGGCCUAACACAUGCAAGUCGAACGGUAGCACAGAGAGCUUGCUCUCGGGUGACGAGUGGCGGACGGGUGAGUAACGUCUGGGAAACUGCCCGAUGGAGGGGGAUAACUACUGGAAACGGUAGCUAAUACCGCAUAACGUCGCAAGACCAAAGUGGGGGACCUUCGGGCCUCACACCAUCGGAUGUGCCCAGAUGGGAUUAGCUAGUAGAUGGGGUAAUGGCUCACCUAGGCGACGAUCCCUAGCUGGUCUGAGAGGAGGAGCAGCCACACCGGAACUGAGAGACUGUCCAGAAUACUACGGGAGGAAGCAGUGGUGAAUAUUGCACAAUGGGCGCAAGCCUGAUGCAGCCAUGCCGCGUGCAUGAAGAAGGCCUUCGGGUUGUAAAGUACUUUCAGCGGGGAGGAAGGCGGUGAAGUUAAUAACUUCACCGAUUGACGUUACCCGCAGAAGAAGCACCGGCUAACUCCGUGCCAGCCGCCGCCGUAA